CCAAAGGCCCUUUUAAGGGCCACCCACUUUCGCAUAGAAAGAGCUG
rfam:Pelodiscus sinensis unplaced genomic scaffold scaffold2737, whole genome shotgun sequence.